rnacentral:lncRNA from 1 species
AACAUUCGAGAGACAAGGAUUUUUAAAGCAUAGAAUCUCAUAAGAUAGAAUAAGAACAUUCAACCACCAAGAAGAUCCAUUCAAAAUUCAAGUGCAACAAGAUUUAAUAGCCCUCUCAAUGACUUCACUCCAUGCACUCAAAGUGUUUAGGGUAUCAUUUAUGCACUCAAAUCAAAUCAAAGAAUGCUAUUACCAUAAGCUUGCUCAUAUAUCACAUCUCAAUCCACAAAACAUGAAUAAAAUGCAAAAAUCUAAGGGUCUUAAAAGGGUUGUAAUGGGGUUAAAUAGGUUAAAUGAAAAAGAAAGGUCUAUGAAAGAAAAAGAGAUCAAAAUGAGAAGAAUGAACUCAUUGAAUGAAC